rnacentral:tRNA from 1 species
CAAGAAAUGGUUUAAUUAAAAUAAUAGUUUUGGGAAUUAUUGAUAGGCUUGUGUCUUUUCUUGA